ACCCACCAAUAGGGAACGUGA
rnacentral:snRNA from 1 species